AUAAUAUAAGAUACAGUCUCUUAGGUUUUAACUAAAAAAACUAAGAGACUUCUCUUAAAUAAGAGAUAUAAGAGACGUCUCUUAGCUUUAUUAGUUAAAAGCUAAGAAACCGUAUAUUAUAUUAC
rfam:Brassica rapa chromosome A6, whole genome shotgun sequence.